AGAGUUUGAUCCUGGCUCAGGAUGAACGCUAGCGGGAGGCUUAAUACAUGCAAGUCGAGCGGUAAGGUUUUCGGACCCUAGAGCGGCGAACAGGUGAGUAACGCGUACGAAACCUACCUUUAAGAGAGGAAUAGCCCUGGGAAACUGGGAGUAAUGCCUCAUAGUAUUCAUUUACCGCAUGGUUUAUGGAUUAAAGCUACGGCGCUUAAAGAUGGUCGUGCGUCUGAUUAGCUAGUUGGUAGGGUAACGGCCUACCAAGGCUACGAUCAGUAGGGGGCGUGAGAGCGUGGCCCCCCACACGGGUACUGAGACACGGACCCGACUCCUACGGGAGGCAGCAGUAAGGAAUAUUGGGCAAUGGACGCAAGUCUGACCCAGCCAUCCCGCGUGCAGGACGAAUGCCCUAUGGGUUGUAAACUGCUUUUGUUUGGGAAGAAAUGUAUUCUUUUAAGAGUAUUUGACGGUACCAGACGAAUAAGCACCGGCUAACUCCGUGCCAGCAGCCGCGGUAAUACGGAGGGUGCAAGCGUUAUCCGGAAUCACUGGGUUUAAAGGGUGCGUAGGCGGCCAGAUAAGUCAGAGGUGAAAGUUUCCGGCUCAACCGGGAGAUUGCCUUUGAUACUGUUUGGCUUGAAUCAGAUUGAGGUUGGCGGAAUGUGACAUGUAGCGGUGAAAUGCAUAGAUAUGUCAUAGAACAUCGAUUGCGAAGGCAGCUGGCUGGAUCUGUAUUGACGCUGA
rnacentral:rRNA from 1 species